rnacentral:hammerhead_ribozyme from 1 species
CUGAUGAUGAGUCCUACAAUAGGACGAAACGGCCGUCAGACAG